rnacentral:rRNA from 1 species
CCUACGGGGCGCAGCAGUCGGGAAUAUUGCGCAAUGGAGGAAACUCUGACGCAGUGACGCCGCGUGCAGGAAGAAGGUUUUCGGAUUGUAAACUGCUUUAGACAGGGAAGAAAGAAAUGACGGUACCUGUAGAAUAAGCUCCGGCUAACUACGUGCCAGCAGCCGCGGUAAUACGUAGGGAGCAAGCGUUAUCCGGAUUUAUUGGGUGUAAAGGGUGCGUAGACGGGAAUACAAGUUGGUUGUGAAAGCCCUCGGCUUAACUGAGGAACUGCAACCAAAACUAUAUUUCUUGAGUAUCGGAGAGG